AUACGGAGGAUGCGAGCGUUAUCCGGAUUUAUUGGGUUUAAAGGGAGCGUAGGCGGGAGCUUAAGUCAGCGGUUAAAUGGUGCGGCUCAACCGUGCCCUGCCGUUGAAACUGGGUUUCUUGAGAGUGCAAGAGGCGGAUGGAAUUUCUGGUGUAGCGGUGAAAUGCUUAGAUAUCAUGAAGAACUCCGAUUUCGAAGGCAGUCCGCUGGGGCACGUCUGACGCUGAUGCUCGAAGGUGCGGGAAUCAAACAGGAUUAGAUACCCUGGUAGUCCGCACGGUAAACGGUGAUUACCCGCUGUCGGCGGUAGACAGUCGGCGGCCAAGCGAAAGCGAUAAGUAAUCCACCUGGGGAGUACGCCGGCAACGGUGAAACUCAAAUGAAUUGACGGGG
rnacentral:rRNA from 1 species